AAAGGAAUAGACGGGGACCCGCACAAGCAGCGGAGCAUGUGGUUUAAUUCGAAGCAACGCGAAGAACCUUACCAAGACUUGACAUCGUCUGAUUGACGCAGAAAAGCGUAGUCCUCUUCGGAGGCAGGCAGACAGGUGGUGCAUGGUUGUCGUCAGCUCGUGUCGUGAGAUGUUGGGUUAAGUCCCGCAACGAGCGCAACCCUUAUCAAUAGUUGCCAAUAUUAAGUUAGGAACUCUAUUGAGACUGCCGUGGAUAACACGGAGGAAGGUGGGGAUGAUGUCAAAUCAUCAUGCCCCUUACGUCUUGGGCUACACACGUGCUACAAUGGCUAUUACAAAGGGCAGCGAAGCCGCAAGGUGAAGCAAAUCCCAUAAAGAUAGUCUCAGUUCGGACUGUGGGCUGCAACUCGCCCACACGAAGUAGGAGUUGCUAGUAAUCCCGAAUCAGCAUGUCGGGGUGAAUGCGUUCCCGGGUCUUGUACACACCGCCCGU
rnacentral:rRNA from 1 species